rnacentral:lncRNA from 1 species
GAGGCAGUCCAGCCGCAGGGGCCACCCGAACAGUCUCUCCUCCUCACAGAAGCCUGCAUGUCAGCAAAUUGGUGUGGGGUGGGGGUAGCCCCUUCUUUGGUUUGAAGAUAAUUUCAGACUGAGACAUCCCUUUAUGAAAUGGAUGGGCUGGCAGAGCUGAGGCUGGGAGUCAAGAGCUGGGCAUCCAAGAAGAAGCAGCCUCAUUUGUUUUCUGGUGUCAUCGUAGGUGGCCACCUAUGGCUUUUGGGACCAAAAAGAAGAAUGUACUUCAUCUGGUUGGGCUGGAUUCCCUCUGAUAAGCCUUCCCAGUUGACUGAAAGAUGAGGCUAGGCUCUAGCAAGUUGAAGUCAAACCAGCUCCUUCAAGAAGCUUUGAGCAGAAUGAAGUGGGGAGGACCCAGCUUCCAGCCCAGGAAGCCCACUGUACCUGGAGCCAUCUGGGAUAAGACUUUGACCCAUGACUCCCAUAUCCACAGCCUGUCCAUCCUAGCCCAUCCCAGUUUAUCCUGUAUCAUUUGAGCUGGGAUUCCCACAUCCUCUGAGUUGGAAGUCCCAUCUCAAGUCUUCAAUAAAGACUCUUGAAUAUUGAAUCACA